rnacentral:rRNA from 1 species
UAACGAAUAUUCCGCAAUGGGCGAAAGCCUGACGGAGCAAUGCCGCGUGUGGGAUGAAGCGCCUUCGGUGUGUAAACCACUGUCAGGGUCGAGGAACACUGACCAGACCCAGAGGAAGGACCGGCUAAUUCCGUGCCAGCAGCCGCGGUAAUACGGAAGGUCCGAGCGUUAAUCGGAAUCACUGGGCUUAAAGCGUGCGCAGGCGGAUCUGUAAGCGUCUCGUGAAAGCCCCCGGCUCAACCGGGGAACUGCGGGGCGAACUACAGGUCUUGAGGCAGGUAGGGGCCGACGGAACCAUCGGUGGAGCGGUGAAAUGCGUAGAUAUCGAUGGGAACGCCAGUGGCGAAGGCGGUCGGCUGGGCCUGUCCUGACGCUCAUGCACGAAAGCGUGGGGAGCGAACGGGAUUAGAUACCCCCGUAGUCC